AUACGGAAGGUGCAGGCGUUAAUCGGAAUCACUGGGCGUAAAGCGCUCGUAGGUGGCUUUGUAGGUCAGGUGUGAAAGCCCACGGCUCAACCGUGGAAUUGCACUUGAUACUGCAUUGCUUGAGUUCGGGAGGAGGGUAGUGGAAUUCCAGGUGUAGGAGUGAAAUCCGUAGAGAUCUGGAGGAACACCAGUGGCGAAGGCGACUACCUGGACCGAUACUGACACUGAGGAGCGAAAGC
rnacentral:rRNA from 1 species